rnacentral:rRNA from 1 species
GAUGAACGCUGGCGGCGUGCCUAAUACAUGCAAGUCGAGCGAACGGACGAGAAGCUUGCUUUUCUGAUGUUAGCGGCGGACGGGUGAGUAACACGUGGAUAACCUACCUAUAAGACUGGGAUAACUUCGGGAAACCGGAGCUAAUACCGGAUAAUAUUUUGUACCGCAUGGCUCAAAGGUGAAAGACGGUCUUGCUGUUACUUAUAGAUGGAUCCGCGCUGCAUUAGCUAGUUGGUAAGGUAACGGCUUACCAAGGCAACGAUGCGUAGCCGACCUGAGAGGGUGAUCGGCCACACUGGAACUGAGACACGGUCCAGACUCCUACGGGAGGCAGCAGUAGGGAAUCUUCCGCAAUGGGCGAAAGCCUGACGGAGCAACGCCGCGUGAGUGAUGAAGGUCUUCGGAUCGUAAAGCUCUGUUAUUAGGGAAGAACAUAUGUGUAAGUAACUGUGCACAUCUUGACGGUACCUAAUCAGAAAGCCACGGCUAACUACGUG